rnacentral:rRNA from 1 species
AAUUUUAAUAAAUAUAAAGGUGAUUAUUUAGGUUUAUUUGCCUUUUGCAUCAUGCUUAUUGGAUUGAUAUAAAUUAUUUUAACUACCGAAAAAUCUAGAUUUUGUGAUUACUUGUUAUGAACUAUUUUUUUUAGGUUAAAGAUGAAAAGAGUAAUUAUAGGAUGUGAUAAGUUAUUCGUUAGAUUUUAUAACUGUUUUGUUGCUUUGAAAUUAGAGUUAUAUAAUUGGCUAUGAAGUUAGUUAUUAAAUUUUAUUGUUUUUAAUUUAAUUUUUAUAUUGGGUUAAAGGUACCCAAUUUUUAUAAGGUUGUUAUAAACUUUAUGAACGUGAUGAUGGCAAUAAAGUGUGUUGGCAACAUUAGAUAAUAUUUGGUAUUCAAUAAUCAAUAAAUAAGUAAUUUAAGUAUAUUAAUUAUUUCUCAGGACUUUUCCGUCUGUUUAUUAAAAACAUUUCUAAUUUUAAACUUAAUUAGUAGUACCUGCCCAAUGUUGUUUAUAAAUGGCCGCAGUAUAUUGACUGUGCAAAGGUAGCAUAAUUAAUUGCCUUUUAAUUGGGGGCUUGUUUGAAUGGUUUGACGAGAAAAGAGCGAAUAUUUAAUAUUUAGUUGAAUUUAAUAUUAAGGGUUCAGAAUCCUUAAGAUUUAAUAAGACGGAAAGACCCUAGGAUCUUUCAUUUUUGUUUGGGGCAAAUUUUUAUGAUUUAUAAAUAUUUAGACCCUUAUGGUUUAGUGAGUAAAGUUACCCUAGGGAUAACAGUGUGAUAGUUAAUGAGAGAUCUUAUCGAAUUAAUUGUUUGCCACCUCGAUGUUGACUUAGGUUAGAGUUUAGGUGUAGCCGUUUAAACUGUAGGUCUGUUCGACCUUAAAACCUCCAUGAGUUGAGUUAAGACCGGCGUGAGCCAGGUCGGUUCUUAUCUAUUGAAGAAAUUUAUCAGUACGAAAGGAUAGUAAAUUUUUUUAUU